UAUCUCUGUAGAGUCUGCAUAUCAAUAAGCGGAGGAAAAGAAACUAACUAGGAUACCCUCAGUAACGGCGAGUGAAGCGGGAAGAGCUCAAAUUUGAAAUCUUCAAGGGUUCUACCUUGACGAAUUGUAGUUUAAAGAAGUGUUUUCUGUUGGAGUUUUGGUAAAAGUUCUUUGGAAUAGGACAUCAUAGAGGGUGAGAAUCCCGUAUUUGACCAUUAUUUCCAACUUUGUGAUACACUUUCAAAGAGUCGGAUUGUUUGGGAAUGCAGUCCAAAAUGGGUGGUAAAUUUCAUCUAAAGCUAAAUACUGGCGAGAGACCGAUAGCGAACAAGUACCGUGAGGGAAAGAUGAAAAGAACUUUGAAAAGAGAGUUAAACAGUACGUGAAAUUGUCAAAAGGGAAGCGUUUGACACCAGUGUUGUUUUCUCGAAAAUCAAUUAAAAAUGGCGGGAUUUUGUGUUGUAUUGACUUUAUCAGCUUUCUGCACUUUUUUCCUGUCUUUUUUAAUGCACUUUACGUUUAACAAGUCAACAUCAAUUUCUUUUGUUGUAAAAGAGUCAUUGGAAGGUGGCUUUCUUUUCGGAGAAAGAGUUUAUAGCCUUUGACUUCUGCAAUCGGAGAGAUUGAGGUCUGCAGCGUAGAUCCUUCGGGGUUAGAUACAUUUGUGCUAAGCUAUAGCCUUUCAUAGACAACUUGUUGACUAUGAUCAGUCAUGUAGCUUACUCGCUUAUGCUAUUCUACCUACGCUUAGGAUGUUGAUGUGAUACUGCGAGCA
rnacentral:rRNA from 1 species